AGGUUAUCAACCCUCCCACUCAGGGCGCCGGCACCCAGAACCGAGUUUUAGGUUCCGAGAAAGUGAAAAAUCACCAGGCUUGAGAGGGAACUCAGACCCCUCAGAAAUGAACUGCUCUAAGAGAGGCUUAGUGGUGCCUAGGCCUAUCCGCAAAAGGCACCCUUAGCCUUGAAAACAAAGUGUCUGGUCCUACGAGGGCUUCCCGCGCCCCUCGAGGCACGCCACAGGAGCCCCAGAGAAGCGCAGGUACUGAGGGAUGUCACCUGGUGUCCCAUCUACCAGGUUGGGGGUGGGGAGGGGUAAAGGGGGAGCCAGAAUGAAGAAAGAUGUAAAAUAGUAUUCAAAGAGAAAAGGGGAGGGAGUGGGUGACAUUUCGUUCACACAAACCCAGUUCCUGAUUUCAAGUGAAGACAGAAUUCUUGUCUCUGCACCCGCACACAGAUGCCUCAGCCAGAAUCCCCAGCUCCAAAUGCCAAAAGGGAAAGAAAAAAAAAAAAAAGCAAAAGAAGAACAGUAAAUGUCAAGGCUGCCAUGUAUUUAUUUGGAUAAUCACUACCCCUCCAUCGCCCCAUGCACUCAUCAGCUCCUUUCAGCAGGGUUUGUAAAAGCAAGGUUGAGGCCGUCUCCUGCAAGCAGUUGGUUCUUUUCCUAUGCCUCCCUGGCUGUCCCAAAAGUCAUUCUCUGGGGUCCUGGGUUUUAAAAUGUAUUCCCAAGGGGAGCGCUCUGUGGUCCCAGCGGGCACUCGAAAACCAGAGGUGAUCGGCAGUCACACCAGUAUUCUCAGGGUCCCGUGGCUAAGCUCCGGCCGGCACAGGGCGAUUCCCCGCCCCCCCCCUUCAGAGAGUACGGUAGUGCAUCUGCACCCAGCCACCACCAUGGGUGUGUCCACCCUGUAGCUCGGCGGGAGAAACUGCUUAGAACUUCAAGGAAUAUAGGACCUGAGGAGUGAGCCCAUAGGCUGACGUGAGGGCUCCCGAGCCGAACCCGCUUUCAGGGAGGUGCUGCCCAGGUCUGGGCGAACUGUGUGGGCCCUUCUCCAAAUGCAAGAAGGGAACCUCUUUAGAGAGAAAGGAAUGAAUGAAAGAAAAAGGAAUAUUAAUCUCAGAGAAGAGGUGAAAGGGGAAACAUUUUCUUUUAUUUUUUCUUCCUGCUAUCGUAGAUACCCCCAGAUUCUUGCUCAAGAGAUACCAGAGUGCACUGGCACGUGCCCAGUUGCCAACAAUUGUUUUAAAGGAAAAAAAAAAAAAGCUUAUCUCUUCGUUCCACUCUCAGGCAAAGCCACAAGUAAGAAGGAAAAAAAGGGGGGGAGGAGUGGGACAUGGGCUUCAAAGGACAAAAGUGAAACAAGCAAGACCCAUGUACACCCUCUCCAGCUUCUCCCCGGCGCUCUUCGGGCGAAUUCGAGGGGCGGGCGCAGCGCUGGUGAAAGUUUGUUCACCAGCAUUUCGCAGCUAGCUGCGUGGAGAGGAGGAGGAGAGGGAGGGUCGAUCUCCAAGCCUGUGGUCGCAAGGAUGACUGAGCCGGCGCCGCGCUUACCUCACAGUCUUCGUACUUGAUAUUAUCCGUCAGUUUCCAAAGCAUUUUCAUGGAUCGGCGUGAUCGGAUUUGCCCCUCUGCGCCUCGCACCCCAGCGGAGCUACUCUCUAGCCUAAUCGCCUCAUUAGCAUAUCAACAAUAGUCCAAUUGCUAGCCAGUACCACAAUCUGCCGCCGGCCGCUCCGACCCAGGUAUAAAGGCCUCUUCAAGCCGCGAACUUGCUCCCAGAGCACACGCCUGCACGCUUGCAAGCUAGCCCAACAGCUAGCCCAGAGCUCCAGCACCGUCCCUAGCUCCAGCGGUCCCUUCCCCGGCCCAAUUUCAUCCCUUUCCCCUGCGCCUGUCUACGGAUCCUGCCAGCCAAAGAUGCCUUGGAUAAAGCUUGGUACUACACAGGGUACUGGCGGCGGGGGGGGGGGACCAACUUUUAGUACACCUCACCCCUGCUACUACAUCCGCCUCUAUCCGAUCUGCCUUUCGUCCCCAUCCGAUUUUAUUAGAAAUCAUUAUCCCUUUCGCAAUGAAUCGUAACCAUCAAACCAGGACCAGCAAAGUCACUCCAGGAUUUUUGUCCAACUGGAGAUCGCCUCCGCUCACGGCUGUUACCCCCUCGGGCUGCAGCGCCCUGGGAGUUUUAUUAGCUUUGCGCUUUCUCCCCAGGUUGGAGAUUCUGCCAACCGGCUCUGGUGGCUCGGUUGGGGUUUGCGAUCUCUUAAUUGCUACGUGUAAAAUAAAAGUUGUACCCUGAAGAGGUUACUCGACAGCUCCGGGGGUUAAAUGAUUUUCCUCCAGUUUGUGUGAAGCUGGAGCGGACUGACAAUUCGUCGGGGUGUUUGGACUGUAAGGUUUUCCAGGUGCAACGUGGACAAGAACACGGAAUUUUGGAUGGAUAUAUAUAUAUAUAGCUGCUUCUGGAGUUAGCCGAAAAGCAGACCUAUGAGUACUUGAGACUCACUCCAUGCCGUGUCAUGCGUGCAUCAAAAUAAAUCAUUGGGAACUGA